UGAAUACGAGAUGCUACGGCGUCGAAGCAGUCUAUGUCAUACUUCCAAGAAAAGCUUGCACUGUCAUAAACAAAUAAUGCCUGUACCAUAACCGACACAGGUGGGUAGGUAGAGUAUACUAAGGGGCGCGAGAUAACUCUCUCUAAGGAACUCGGCAAAAUGACUCCGUAACUUCGGGAGAAGGAGUGCCUUAUUUAUAAGGUUGCAAUAACAAGAUCCAAGCAACUGUUUACCAAAAACACAGGUCUCCGCUAAGUCGUAAGACGAUGUAUGGGGGCUGACGCCUGCCCAGUGCCAGAAGGUUAAAGAAGUUGGUUAGCAUCCGCGAAGCUGAUAACUGAAGCCCUGGUGAACGGCGGCCGUAACGAUAACGGUCCUAAGGUAGCGAAAUUCCUUGUCGGGUAAGUUCCGACCCGCACGAAAGGCGUAAUGAUUUGGAUACUGUCUCGGAGAGGGGCUCGGUGAAAUAGACUUGUCUGUGAAGAUGCGGACUACCUGCACCAGGACAGAAAGACCCUAUGAAGCUUUACUGUAACCUGAAAUUGAAAUUGGACUUUACUUGCGCAGUAUAGGUGGGAGGCGUUGAGAAUAUUCUUGCGGGAUUAUUGGAGCCAUCAGUGAGAUACCACUCUUGUAAUGUUAGAUUUCUAACUUUGUAUCAUUAUCUGGUCAAAGAACAGUUUCAGGCGGGCAGUUUGACUGGGGCGGUCGCCUCCUAAACGGUAACGGAGGCGCACAAAGGUUUCCUCUGAACGGGUAGAAAUCGUAUCUAGAGUGUAAAGGCAUAAGGAAGCUUGACUGUGAGACCUACAAGUCGAGCAGGGACGAAAGUCGGUCUUAGUGAUCUGACGGUGCUGAGUGGAAAGGCCGUCACUCAACGGAUAAAAGUUACUCUAGGAUAACAGGCUGAUCUCCCCCAAGAGUUCACAUCGACGGGGAGGUUUGGCACCUCGAUGUCGGCUCAUCGCAUCCUGGGGCGGUAGUACGUCCCAAGGGUUGGGCUGUUCGCCCAUGAAAGCGGUACGCGAGCUGGGUUCAGAACGUCGUGAGACAGUUCGGUCCAUAUCCGGUGUAGGCGUUAGAAUAUUGAGAGGAGCCUUCUUUAGUACGAGAGGACCGAGAAGGACAUACCUCUGGUGUACCAGUUAUCGUGCCAACGGUAAACGCUGGGUAGCUAUGUGUGGAGUGGAUAACCGCUGAAAGCAUCUAAGUGGGAAGCCCACCUCAAGAUAAG
rnacentral:rRNA from 1 species